rnacentral:rRNA from 1 species
AGCAGUAGCCGCGGUAAUACGGAGGGUGCAAGCGUUAAUCGGAAUUACUGGGCGUAAAGCGCACGCAGGCGGUCUGACAAGUCAGAUGUGAAAUCCCCGGGCUUAACCUGGGAACUGCAUUUGAAACUGUCAGGCUGGAGUCUUGUAGAGGGGGGUGGAAUUCCAGGUGUAGCGGUGAAAUGCGUAGAGAUCUGGAGGAAUACCGGUGGCGAAGGCGGCCCCCUGGACAAAGACUGACGCUCAGGUGCGAAAGCGUGGGGAGCAAACAGGAUUAGAGACCCCGCGUAGUCCCUGUCUCUUAUA